rnacentral:lncRNA from 1 species
AGGCAUUGGCAUUGUGGAGAUGAACUAGGCAGGCACUCUCCCUCAAGUACUUCCCAGCCCAGAAGGGAACAGGACCACACCUGAGGGCUAUCCUAAAGAUCUGAACAGUGGUGACAGAAUGAAGAGAGCUUGCUUGGACAGCUUUAUGUAGCAGAGCUGGUACAAGUGACUUAGGCCUUGAAGGGACUCCUGAGCAUCAUUCCAGGAAUUCUCUGGUCUCUAAGCCCAAAUCUCAAAGGCAAAGGAUCCAGCUGAUUUAUCUGAUUUAUCCCUGGGAGCCACACCCAGCACAGGGCCAAGCACAAACACAACAUCACAUGAACGAGGACAGUGAGUCACUUGGGAUAUGGAGAGAUGCAAGAGGAUCAGAAGUUUGAGUCCACCCUCAGGAACACAGCAAGUCUGAGGGCAGCCCGAGCCACACACGCUUCUUACCAAGAAAGGAUGAAGCCAAUGUUCCCACUCUAUCCUAAAAUAGGCUGCCAAGCACACCCAAGAAUGUGUUCUGUGACCCCACACUAGAAGACCUUGACACUCAGUAUGAUUGCAUCACGAAGCCUGAUCUAUACCCAAGGGUGGGAACCGCAUCACUGUGGUCUCUACCCAUCAUGGAGACCCUCUCACUCACUCACUCACUCACUCACUCACUCACUCACUCACUCACUCACUCACAGUGUGACCUUGGGAAGCCACUGAACUGAUCUAGUCUCUCUCCCAUAAAAUGGACUAAUGGUUGCAUCUCCCCUGAGAGCUUGGCAGAAGGGUUAAAAUUAAUAUGUACUGAAUGCUAUUGAUUAUAUAAAGUUAUUAUAUG